CCUACGUGAGGCAGCAGUGAGGAAUAUUGGUCAAUGGGCGCGAGCCUGAACCAGCCAAGUAGCGUGAAGGAUGACUGCCCUACGGGUUGUAAACUUCUUUUAUAAAGGAAUAAAGUGAGGCACGUGUGCCUUUUUGUAUGUACUUUAUGAAUAAGGAUCGGCUAACUCCGUGCCAGCAGCCGCGGUAAUCCGGAGGAUCCGAGCGUUAUCCGGUUUUAUUGGGGUUAAAGGGAGCGUAGUUGGGUUGUUAAGUCAGUUGUGAAAGUUUGCGGCUCAAACGUAAAAUUGCAAUUGAUACUGGCAGUCUUGAGUACAGUUGAGGUAGGCGGAAUGCGUGGUGUAGCGGUGAAAUGCUUAGAUAGCACGAAGAACUCCGAUUGCGAAGGCAGCUUACUAAACUGCCACUGACAUUGAUGCUCGAAAGUGUGGGUAUCAAACAGGAUUAGAUACCCCUGUAGUC
rnacentral:rRNA from 1 species